rnacentral:lncRNA from 1 species
AUGCCAGGAGCUCAGAGGGUGAAGGAGGUGGGCUACAGGAGCCAAAAUCUCCAGCCAAGACGCCUCUGGUCCGGACAUCAGACCAGCUGGCAGCAUUCCAAGGAUGAGCAAGGCCACCCUGGUUGGGGAGCAUGGCUGGGGGGACUGUGUGUCUCCACCCCAGUAAGGCCAUCCUGGUGUGGGGGAGCAUCUGCUGGCCCGUGCCCUGUCCUGCCCCCUCAAUGCUCUCCAGGCACAGUUCAUUUUCUAACUAACAGAAGCAUGGUCACUUGGGGGCAGUCCCCAGCCUGCCAUCCUUCCUGGCCUCCACCCUCUGGUAUAUGUAGUUUCCUGCUGGCUUUAAAAGGCGAGAAGAUCAGUUCCUGCCUGGACAUAGACAGACGUGUGGAAGAUUCAGCCUGGAGUCUCCCCACCACCACCCCUGGAGCUGUGAUGUGGAAAUUUGCUCUCCCCAGAGGCCCCACGGGGCACUGCCCAGGUCCAGGUCCCACAAGGCAGGGAGGGCCGGCCUUGGAUGUGGGGCUCACUGUCCCCACUCAGGCAAACCUGUGGCACCAAUGUCCCCAGACCCAGAGAGAAAAGCAAGACAGGAGGAAACAUGAGAACAAGACCUCAUGUGCCAGGUUGCUUCGGUCAUGCCGGACUCUUCACAACCCCAUGGAUGGUGUGGGAGCCGCCUCGGGAGUUUCUGCCAACUUCCCCCGCACACCUGGCAGCAGCACCCUGUCCCCACCGCAGCUCGCUCACAAAGCAGAGCUCUCAGGCCAAGGACACCUGGCCACCGCCCUGGUCAUUGCCAUGUCCACCAUCUUCACCUUGGCCGUCGCCAUCGUCCUCAUCAUCAUGUUCUACAUCCUGAAGGCCAGGCCGUCUGCCCCCGCCUGCUGCCCCAGCACCCCCGUGAAGAGCCCAGAAGCCCCCGUGAGCGAGGAAGAGGAGAAGAAAGAGGCCCAAGACAACGUGGUGAUCUUCUCCGAGAAGGACGAAUUCGAGAAGCUGACAGCGGCUCCAGCCAAAUCGGCUAAGAGUGAGAACGACGCCUCAUCAGAGAAGGAGCAGCUGCUGAACCGGAGCCUGGACAGUGACGAGGAGCCGGCCCCGGAUGGGCAGGGCCCCCCGGAGCUAUGCCUGCUAUCGCUGGUCCACCUGGCCAGGGACAAGUCAGCCACUGCCACCCGGGCGGCCGGGAUUCAGAGUCGAAGGAAGAAGAUACUGGACGUGUAUGCCAGUGUGUGUGGUGUUGUGGAAGGCCUCAGCCCCACGGAGCUGCCCUUCGACUGCUUGGAGAAGACCAGCCGGAUGCUCAGUGCCACGUACAACUCGGAGAAGGCGGUGGUGAAGACGUGGCGCCACCUGGCUGAGAGCUUUGGGCUUAAGCGGGACGAGAUCGGUGGCAUGACAGAUGGGCUGCAACUGUUCGACCGCAUCAGUACAGCCGGCUACAGCAUCCCCGAGCUUCUCACCAAACUGGUGCAGAUUGAGCGGCUGGACGCCGUAGAGUCCCUAUGUGCGGACAUCCUGGAGUGGGCGGGGGUCCCGCCGCCCGCUGCCCCGCCACCCCCCGCAUCCUGA